CUUCUCUUCCCCACCCUUUGAACCGCGAUAGAAAACAAUACCUCUCACCUUUGCCUCGUUAUGGCAGUUUCCCAGAAUUGAUAUUCAAAUUAGUGAUGCUAAAAGAAUUGAUGAAUAUCAGAUAUAUUUACAUGCAGAUCUCUUGAAAGUGACAUCACAAUAUCACGAAUUAACCCUACUCUUUCCCAUCUUUCGUCUCCGAAGAAACUCUAGGCAUCACCUUUUCCAGCAUCAAUAGGAUUAGCAGCAACACAAGCAGGAACUGACACCAGCAGCGGACGAGCCUGCAGAGGCACAAUAGCCUGCACAAG